CGCAGCGAAGUGCGAUAAGUGGUGUGAAUUGCAAAAUCCCGUGAACCAUCGAGUCUUUGAACGCAUGUUGCCCCCGAGGCCAUCAGGCCAAGGGCACCCCUGCCUGGGCUUUGCGAGUCAUCUCUCUCCCUCAAUGAGGCUGUCCAUGCAUACUGUUCACCC
rnacentral:rRNA from 1 species